rnacentral:rRNA from 1 species
GAUGAACGCUGGCGGCGUGCUUAACACAUGCAAGUCGAACGGUGAAGCAGGAGCUUGCUCCUGCGGAUCAGUGGCGAACGGGUGAGUAACACGUGAGCAAUCUGCCCUGGACUCUGGGAUAAGCGUUGGAAACGACGUCUAAUACCGGAUACGAGACGCGAAGGCAUCUUCAGCGUCUGGAAAGAACUUCGGUCCAGGAUGAGCUCGCGGCCUAUCAGGUAGUUGGUGAGGUAAUGGCUCACCAAGGCUACGACGGGAAGCCGGCCUGAGUGGGUGACCGGCCACACUGGGACUGAGACACGGCCCAGACUCCUACGGGAGGCAGCAGUGGGGAAUAUUGCACAAUGGGCGCAAGCCUGAUGCAGCAACGCCGCGUGAGGGACGACGGCCUUCGGGUUGUAAACCUCUUUUAGCAGGGAAGAAGCGAAAGUGACGGUACCUGCAGAAAAAGCACCGGCUAACUACGUGCCAGCCGCCGCAGUAAAAC